GAUGAACGCUAGCGGCAGGCCUAAUACAUGCAAGUCGGACGGGAUUCAGGAGCUUGCUUCUGAUGAGAGUGGCGCACGGGUGCGUAACACGUAUGUAACCUACCUUUAUCAGGGGGAUAGCCUCUCGAAAGAGAGAUUAAGCCCGCAUAAAAUCACAGCACAGCAUUGUGUAAUGAUCAAAUAUUUAUAGGAUAAAGAUGGGCAUGCGGAACAUUAGCUAGAUGGCGGGGUAACGGCCCACCAUGGCGACGAUGUUUAGGGGAUCUGAGAGGAUGGCCCCCCACACUGGUACUGAGACACGGACCAGACUCCUACGGGAGGCAGCAGUAAGGAAUAUUGGUCAAUGGGCGGAAGCCUGAACCAGCCAUGCCGCGUGCAGGAAGACGGCCCUACGUGUUGUAAACUGCUUUUAUACGGGAAUAAACCCAGAUACGUGUAUCUGGCUGAAUGUACUGUAAGAAUAAGGAUCGGCUAACCCCGUG
rnacentral:rRNA from 1 species